UGAGGAUUUACGCUCAAGUCAAUAAGGGAAUACUUCCGCAGGUGCUGAGUAGUGGUGAUUGAGUGACGACUCCGAAAACUCGAAGUCGAUCGCAUCCAGUCGUGGUGAGGUUCCAGCGUGGAUUGUGUGUGAGAUUUGGUGUGAUUUUAUUUGUGAGGUUGUUGUGAGGAUUAUACAAUUCCAUUUGUUAUAUGUUGAAUUAUCAUUUGGGUUUGUAAUAAUCGGCUUGACUGAGUUAUAUUUUAAACUCAGAUGUGAUCCGCUGCGACAUUAAAAUGAUUUCGAUUUCAUUGAGAUUAUUUUUGUGUUUAACGAUUCUAAGAUUUUGAGUUUUGAAGCUCGAAAUUUUAGGGUCGUUACAAAGAGGAUGAAUCAAAGCCAAAGAGAGUGGGCCGAAGAGCAAGAAUGCUUGAUCUGGGCAAGAAGAUGGGGGAGAAAUUGGAAGAAAAGAGGCGGAGCAUCGAAGAGAAGAGUAGGAACAUCGUUGAGAAAAUGCGAGGUCCAUGAAACAGCCAGAAGAGACAGUUGAUCAGUUAUAUUUGCACCAUUUGCUUGGCUAAAUCCAUUUGUCUGAUUCUUGAUUGCUGAAACGAGUGUUUGUACUUGUACAUGUGAAAGUUUUAUCCGAUUCAGCUGUAGUCAGUGUUUCAUGUACAAUGCUAUAAAAUAACUUCUUUGGUGCUAUAGGAUUACAUUAAUACGAGAACGUAUGUAUCUAUAGAUUGAUACCAUGUACUGCUCUUACGUCGAAAUACAUGCUUGAUGCAUCUCUCUUCUUUUGUUACAA